GUUAUUUAUAUGAAGGAAACAAAAUCACUAACUCAAAGAGAUACCUGCACCCCAUGUUCAUUACAGCAUUAUUUACAAUAGCCAAGCCAUGAAAACAACAAGCUGUUUUUGUAGCUGUGGUCAUUAUGGUGUGUGAUGGGCUGAACUGUGUUCCCCUAAAACUCGUGUGUGGGGUCCUAACCCCCCAGUGCCUCAAAAUGUGGCCGUGUUUGGAGACAAAGUCAUUAGAGAACUUGUUAAGUUAAAGUGAGGUCAUCAGGGUGGCCCUAAUCCAACCUGACUCGUGUCCUUAUAGAACAGGAGAUGAGGACACAGCCAGGUAGAGGGAGGACCACAUGAGGACACGGGGAGGAGACGGCCGUCUGCAUGCCAAGAGGCCUCUGAAGGCACCAGCCUGCCAACACCUUGCUCUUGGACUUCCAGCCUCUGGACUGUGAGAGAGUAACUUCCUGUUGUUUAAGCCCCCCAGUCUGUGGGGUGUGUUACGGCAGCCUGAGCAGAUUAACGCAUGGUGUGAUGUUUCUGGGCUACGUUUAUAAAUGCUAUCUCAACACAGAUUCAAAGGGCCUGCUCUUCUGAGUCACAAGUACUUGAUCAUUUGCCCGAGGUCUUCUGCUCGGCUAAUUCAUCACCAAAACAAUGGCCCAUGGGGAAGCAGGACUCCGGAGUCAGGCUGAGGUGUCCUGUGUUUUCAUAUCGACAUUCAUGCUUUAGGGAGUAAUACUCAAAUAUAACAACCAAUAUGUACUUUAAUGCUCAGAUGGAAUUAAAUGUCUUUUUUGGGGAGAAAAAUUCUGGCUUCACAGCAGGCACCUGGCCAAUAUGAAUUAUACAAAGUCUAGGGUGGCCCUCAGUCUAUAGACACCACCAUUUUUACAGCAGAAUUUGAUUUCUAUAAGAAACAAGUGAUGAGGAGACUUUUUAAAAAAUCUUUUGCAAAACCACAGUAAAGAAAAAAGAAUUAAAAUAUAUGUGAAGUUUCCAAAGCCCUUCCUGUAAGGAUUCAUAGGAUAUAUGCUUUCUAAUAUUACAAAAAAUAUUGUCUUUCCGACAAAUGUGUACGCUUCCUUUCAGUAAAAAUUAAAAUUGGCACAAUUCAACACAUUUCCCUUUUGGCCUUGGCUGCCAAGAGGCUCAGGAUCAAGACUGGUGACCCACCCUCAUCCUGCAGCUCAGCCCUGCUGGGUCCUCCCUGAGCUGCCCUUUAGAGAUGGCAGUGCCCUGUGGAUGUGCUCCCCUACCGUGAGCCCCUGCAGGUCCCCGCAAAGCACGGAUCUAAACUGGUGGAUGCUGGAGAGAAAGGUGAGCCCAACCCUCCCUCCAUCUAAAUUCUUGCAGCUUCCUGAAAACUCUCCUUGCAUGCAGAGGUAGCGUGUACUUUGAAGGAGACGCGUUUGUCCUUUUCACUGAAUUGUCCAGUAUUUUUCUGUGCCUUUGUCUCACAGGUGGUUUUCACUCUUUACGACACUGUCCUUUGUUUCAGCUGAGGACUGGACAGCAGCUCAGGCCCUGAGACCGUGGGUCUCACCCCCACCUCCCGGCCACUGGGACCAUGAAAUCAAGACAAUCACCUUCUGGGGGUCUAAUAACCACGUAACUUUUCGGUCUCUGUCCCCAGGAAUGUGUCACUGAGAAAGUGGCCACACGACGCCUGGCAAAUAGGACAGUGAAGCUGAGAACGAGGCCUGAGGCCUGGGCAGCCGCAUCCAGCUCGCAACAAGGUUGCAGCCCCAGGUCCUGGUUGCCAUUCAGGCACCACUCGAUGUGGAACGGCAAACGAAUCCGUAUUAUGGGCCUGUGUGUGGCCCUUUACAAGCACGAGUGCCUCCAGGCUGAGGGGAAUUAAAAUAGGAAGGGUCCCCUAGGUGUUGGAAAGAACCCCGGGACUGGAGUUUAGGAAGUCUGAGAGGGUAUCAGGCUGGCUGGAGACAUAUUCACUGUUAAAAUUAAGACGCCAGAGGGUCCCUAGAACACUGGGCUAAGGAGCCACCAAUGGGGUCGUUUCGAUGCCUAUGAAACCCUCAGAAGCAUCUGCGGAAGCUGCUGUCUGCCCAUGGUUCCUGCAGCUAAGGCGCUGUGGGCGUGUGGCCCUCUCAUCCAUAGAAAUAAGUCCUCCCUGCGGGGAAUGCUACAGCCGAGCAUUUGUGUAGCUCUUUCUCCAAUGUAUUACCUUGAGACGUUUACAAUUGUCCGGAUUCAACCGUGUUUGACCAACCACAGUGGCAAUUUCAUACGGUUUGACAUUUAUUGAGCACCUACUAUGUAUCCAGCACAGUGAUGGAAACAAGGAUGGAUUAAGGUCCACAGCGAUGCCAGACACACACAUGGGAUGUCCAAGCCAGCGUGGCCAGUGUCGUAGCAGCAGUGGGGACACGGGGCUGUGAGGACACCCACGGCGCUAUGGGCACCCCCUCCCACUACAUGCAUCACGCUGCCAGCCAGGCUAUCUGUGACACACUUAGAGCUGCCGUCGGCUGAGUGCUGUGGCAGCGGGCAUGUCAUUCCACACAGCCCUUCUAACAAUACCAGGUAAUAGGUUCUACUCUACUAUGAUCCCAUUUUACAGAGGACGAAACUGAGGCCUAGAAAGGUCAAGUCGAGAGUAAAUGGCAAAGCCAUCCAAUAACUAAUGACAAAGUUCCCAUGCUGUACGCCUAAACUGUCCCACCACCGGCAAUAGACUGGGUAAUGACCUCCAAAGAUAGCAGCUCCUAAUCCCUGGAACCUGGAAAUGUGACCUUGUUUGGAAAAAGGGUCUUUGCAAGUGCGAUGAAGUUAAGGCUCUCAAGAAGAGAUUGUCCUGGAUUAUCCAGGUGGGCCCUAAACGCGAUCACAAGAGAGAGUCGGGAGAGAGGACACACGUGUACACACAGAAGGGAAGGCCACAUGAAAAGGGAACAGAGAGAGGAUUGAAGAUGUUGGCCUUGAAGAUGGGAGCGAAGUGGCCACGAGCCAGGGGAUUCGUGCAGCCCUCAGAAGAAGGGUGAGGCAAAGAAGGGGUCUGCCCUAGAGCCUCCGCAGGGAACCUGGCCCUGCCGACACCUGGACUUGAUAACGAUGGUGGGCUUCUGCCCUCCAGAGCUGUGAGAGAAUAAACUUCUGUUGUUUUAAACCCC